AUUUAUGUAGUUUAUAAAAAACAUUAUAUUUUCAAUAUAAAAAAAGAUUUAAUCUUAUAAAUA
rnacentral:tRNA from 1 species